GAUGAACGCUAGCGGGAGGCCUAAUACAUGCAAGUCGAACGGUAAGGUCCCUUCGGGUGCCGGCGAGUGGCGAACGGGUGAGUAAUAUAUCGGAACGUACCUUUCAGUGGGGGAUAACGUAGCGAAAGUUACGCUAAUACCGCAUAUUCUGUGAGCAGGAAAGCAGGGGAUCGCAAGACCUUGCGCUGAUUGAGCGGCCGAUAUCAGAUUAGCUAGUUGGUGAGGUAAAGGCUCACCAAGGCGACGAUCUGUAGCGGGUCUGAGAGGAUGAUCCGCCACACUGGAACUGAGACACGGUCCAGACUCCUACGGGAGGCAGCAGUGGGGAAUUUUGGACAAUGGGCGCAAGCCUGAUCCAGCCAUGCCGCGUGAGUGAAGAAGGCCU
rnacentral:rRNA from 1 species